rnacentral:lncRNA from 1 species
GGUUGGAAAAUUCUGCAAAAUUGAUCUACAUUCUGGUUUUGGAACUUCCAGAUCGUGAUUCAAGACUCCAGAGGAUAGCUCCAAGCACGUGGAGAGCAUGGAUUCACAAGCCAUGGCGAUGAAGCGAGGAAGCGAACGAAGCACGAUGAGGAGCUAAACUCCUUUGAAGGUAGAAUCUAGGAUAGUUUAGGAUGUAGUUCAACUGAAUGUAAUCUGCAAAUGUUGUAAGAAUUCACUCUUUCUAUAGUGUUCAUCCAAUACAAUUCUGUUUUUAAUGCUUUAUAAUCCUUCAUUAGUGUUAUAAUGAUUUCGAGUUAAGUCACGUGCGAGAGUAUUGAUUUAAUUUCUGAACUGAAUUGUAUUGAACACUUGAGUGUCUCCGGUCGAGAGAUUGAGGCAUAGAGUGUAGCGAACGAUUGACGCGCGUUAAUAUCAUUCGUUGUAGGUAGCUUCCGCCCGAGAGAUCGGGGGAGUAUCGACAACGAAUAGAGUGGAUUUUGACAAGAGAUUGCGAUUCACUAAUUUGUCGAUCUAGUUGUGAACACUUGAGUAAAUUCCUACGACAUAGUAGAUUGCAUGUGGUUUAGCUAUAGCCUAGAUGAUUCCGAUGAUUCUACCUCGCUUUUCCUUUAUAUCAAAGCACGUUUUCUAGCAAUUCA